CCUCACCUUGGAAACAGAGGCUUGAAUUGGUAUCUUUUACAUUCUUGGCAGGAUUGAUGUUUCUAGGUUUGAAAAGGUCACAAUAUUUUCAUGGGCAUGGGAUAAUUUUAAUCUACCCUCUGCUGGGGGGAGAAAAGAUGGUCUGACCAUUGUCGUUCCAUCUGUUUUCUAAGUCAUGAUCAAGGUGUCUCCCCUGCCAGGUGUUUAGGACUUCAAGUCCCACAAUUCCGAACAGCUGGUAAGAUGGCUGGGAUUUCUGGGAGCUGAAGUCGAAAACAACUGAAGGACCGGUUUGGGAACCAGUGGUCUACAGCAUUUCCUUCAUCCACCAAGUUUGUAAGUUUUAUCAAAAAGAGUCCCAGAAAGAAAGUGGUCAUUCAUCAAUAUAUGUUCUUUCUGCAAAGGUGGAAGCAAGCAAGCUGCCUGCCACUGCUUCUUCAGCCAGAGUAAAAAAGGGUAAAUAAAAAUAUUCUGCCUUUCAUGUUGAAAGAACUUUUUAGCUGAAAUAAAAUUGGAGGUUUGCAAGAAACAAGCUGAAAACAUUGGGCU